AGAGUUUGAUCCUGGCUCAGGAUAAACGCUGGCGGCGUGCCUAACACAUGCAAGUCGAACGCUCUGCGCAAGCAGGGAGUGGCGGACGGGUGAGUAACACGUGGGUUAUCUACCAUCAGGUGAGGAAUACCGGCGAGAAAUCGCCGACAAUACCGCAUAUGCUCGCAAGAGCAAAGCUCGCAAGGGCGCCUGAGGAUGAG
rnacentral:rRNA from 1 species